rnacentral:rRNA from 1 species
GACGAACGCUGGCGGCGUGCUUAACACAUGCAAGUCGAACGAAGUGGCGAACGGGUUAGUAACGCGUAAUCAACCUGCCCUUCCGAGGGGGACAACAGUUGGAAACGACUGCUCAUACCGCAUACUGAAGGAGGGGAUUGCGUCGGAUUAGCUGGGUGGGGGGGUAACGGCCCACCAAGGCGAUGAUCAGUAGCCGGUCUGAGAGGAUGAACGGCAACAUUGGGAAUGAGACACGGCCCAGAAUCCUACGGGAGGCAGCAGUGGGGAAGCUUCCGCAAUGGACGAAAGUCUGACGGAGCAACGCCGGGGGAGUGAUGACGGCCUUCGGGUUGUAAAGCUCUGUUAAUCGGGACGCGGUACCGGAAUAGAAAGCCACGGCUAACUACGUGCCAGCAGCCGCGGUAAUAC